ACGGGAGGCAGCAGUAGGGAAUUUUCGUCACUGGGGGGAACCCUGAACGAGCAAUGCCGCGUGAGCGAAGAAGGUCUUCGGAUCGUAAAGCUCUGUUGUAAGAGAAAAAUGGUACAGCUAGGAAAUGAUCUGUAAGUGAUGGUAUCUUACCAGACCGUCACGGCUAACUACGUGCCAGCAGCCGCGGUAAUACGUAGGUGGCGAGCGUUAUCCGGAAUGAUUGGGCGUAAAGGGUGCGUAGGUGGCACGAUAAGUCUGAAGUCAAAGCUGGCAGCUCAACUGUCAGACGCUUUGGAAACUGUCGAGCUAGAGUGCAGGAGAGGGCGAUGGAACUCCAUGUGUAGCGGUAAAAUGCGUAGAUAUAUGGAAGAACACCGGUGGCGAAGGCGGUCGCCUAGCCUGUGACUGACACUGAGGCACGAAAGCGGGGGGAGCAAAUAGGAUUAGAUACCCUGGUA
rnacentral:rRNA from 1 species